rnacentral:rRNA from 1 species
UACGGAGGGUGCAAGCGUUAUCCGGAUUCACUGGGUUUAAAGGGUGCGUAGGAGGGCAGGUAAGUCAGUGGUGAAAUCCUAGGGCUCAACCCUAGAACUGCCGUUGAUACUAUCUGUCUUGAAUACAGUGGAGGUGAGCGGAAUAUGUCAUGUAGCGGUGAAAUGCUUAGAUAUGACAUAGAACACCAAUUGCGAAGGCAGCUCGCUACACUCAUAUUGACUCUGAGGCACGAAAGCGUGGGGAUCAAACAGG